GUCUAGGAUUUUUGAAGGCUUGAAGAGUGAAGGCUGGGAGUUGGGGUGUGCUCUGAGCCUGGCUGCAGCUAUCCUAGAACAAUUCUAAAGGGAGCUGAGAAGGUAGAGGCAUCGACCAGUGACCCCCUAACUGUGUUGAUCAAAGUGAAUGAAUUACGGUGAAAAGCCAACUCCAGGGGCUGGAGGACCCAGCGCUAAUCCACCUGGCAGCACACGUACGUCCAAGAACUCAGCCCGCACAUUAUAAAGGGUGGGCUUGAGCAUUAUCAGCCAAGCAGAGAAGGGAAGAAAUGGAGUAAGCAAGAGGGGACAACAGCUUAGAGAGGUGAAAAAGCAGAAAACUCUCACGGAACUGGAUAGUAGCUUCAGACAGACUUGCAGGCCUUGGAGCAGAAAGAAGGCACUCCCAGGGAGGCCCCUGGCCCACACUCAAGAUUCGGGAAGAGGAAGAUUUGCCCUCCUGCUUCCACCUCUUCUCUCCUCUCUAGAUGACAGCAGACAUCUGAGACCAGGACAGUGUCAAGAACUGCAGACGGUCAGAGAUUUUAGCCCUCUUGCAUGCUAACAACUCCACUUCACAGAUGGUGAAAUUGCUUCCCUGAAACAGAGCCUGAGAUGAUACAGCAAGCUGGUGAUAAAACAAGUAGUAGAACCCAGGUCUCCCACCUCCCACUGCAAGCUCUUUCCAACAGGCUGUGCUGCCUGUCAGAGCCCUGAAUACAAACCACUGAUGGCAAGAAGCACGGCUAAAACUCAAUGGCAACAGGUUAUGUGAGAUACACCUCCAUCAUUUCACCUCUCAAGUGAUCCAGGCAUCAACCCUCUUGGGUCCUGCUCAGCCCUGCAGUGGCUUCUCCAUCCGAUGCUUACCAUCCCCAGAACCCGCCAUCACCUUAUAUACCAUCUUCAGCUAAAGACAAAAGAAAAUGCUGAGGGUGGGGAGAGUCAGUUCUAGGAGAUGGUGAUGAGGCCCUGUUCCUUGGUCCUCUCAAGGAGUUAAAACCAAGCAGGACCCUGUGGGGCUCCUGGACAGAGAAGACUUUCUGUCCCCCACUUCCUGUUUAUAGGGAACAGCCUCCAUGAUCUCCGUUGAGUUCCAAAGGGCAGGUUCAAACAGUUGCUAAUCAAGGGAGAAGCAGCCAAGAAACCACCUGAGGCAAUAAGUCUGAUGCUUGGUCAGGAGCUGGAGACCGUGAGAGAGCUUCCUAUCAGCUUUCAAGGACGUGACUCCUGAUGCAAACAGACAACAGGAUACUUAGGUUCCAGCACAGAGAAGGAAGAACAUGUGGGCUUUCUUAUCAGCCUGCCCUGACAUGGGGCCAAAGGGGAAAGGGAAGAUGAGGUCAAAAGAGAUCAGCAAUCAAACAUCAAAAACUGCAGUCGGACUCCACACAGGCUCUCUUAAGGAUGAAAUGAGAGAAUGCAGAUUUGGAAUGCCCAAGCGAUAGGUCUAGUCACUUCGAAUUGCUACUGAUUGGCACAUGGUCAUCCUUUCCCCAUGGCUGCAUAAAAUAGAUUGAAUCAAAUGGACCCCAUCGUUCACGCUGCUUCUCUCUGCUGGGGCCAGGAGCAGCCCGGCUGUGCAGCACCAGCUGAGCGAAGACAGACGGCAAAGCACUAUGCUUCUCCUUCCCCGAAAAACAGCCGCUCAAGGUCACAGAGAGCCUUUACAGUGGGUGACUUUAAAGUUACCAGAGUAACUUUACAGUGAGAAACCUGACAAACCCUGUUUCAAGGUCAGCAUCCACAGUGAUAAGACGUGAUAAAAAUGGUACUUUAUCCCUGCAGUCCUCCUCUCCCCAAGCCAAAAACCCUAGUCUAAUCAUGAGAGAAACACGAGACAAAUCCCAACAGAGGGACAUUCUACAAAAUACCUGACCAGUACUUCUCAAAACUGUCAUCAAAAACAAAGAAAAUCUAAGAAACUGUCACAGUCAAGAGGAGCCUAAGGAGACAUGACAAUUAAAGGCAGUGUGGGAUCCUGGAACAGAAAAAGGACACUAUGUAAAAACUAAGGGAAACUGAAUAACGUAUGGACUUUAAUUAAUAAUAAUGCAUCAGUAUUAGUUCAUUAGUUGUAACAGAUAUACCAUACUAAUGUAAGAUACUAACAGGGAAAACUGAAUGCAGGGUUUAUGGGAAUUCUCUGUACUAUCCUCACAGUUUUUCUUUAAAUCUAAAACUAUUCUUAAAAAAUUAAUUUUAUUUUAAAACAAAAAAUUGACCGGUUUUCAAUCUCUCAAAAAUAUAAUGUUAAUGUAUAAUAUUUCUUAAAAUAUUUGCAUUCAAGAAGGAGCUUCAGAAUAGACCAUAUGAAUAAAAUACAGCAAAAUUGAUUUCUCCAGAGACUAAGAAGAUAAUACCCAGGUAUUCAAUGAUACAAGGGAUCAAAGGAAGAACAAGCUGAGGGAAGGGAAAUUAUUCCAAUCAGUCUCCCGCUGCACAAACCAUAAAUAUAAAGAUGAAACUAUGCCAUGAAUCUCUCUUUGAGAAAGGGGAGGUGAUCAAUAGCAUGCACCUAGUUUCACUGCCCCACUGAGAUGACACUCUUCCCAAAGGGGAAAAAUGAGCUGCCAAUGAGAAAUCGUUUGGAUAACUAAGAAAGACACCUUCUCAGAAACUUCCAAAUCAAGUUUGAUGGUUGGUCAAUGUGCCAAGCAGUGGUUAUAUGUCAUUUCUUCUCCAGAAGAUGGAGCUUUAGUCUAAAACAUGAAUGCAAAGACGAGUUGGCAAACAGGGUCCAGAAUGAUAGAGUUCAAAGAAAAUGCAUAAAAUUGGGUCCGUAUCACAGAGGGUUUCAAAAGCAUUUUAUUUUAUUUUUAAUUUUUUUAACAUCUUUAUUGGAGUAUAAUUGCUUUACAAUGGUGUGUAAGUUUCUGCUUUAUAACAAAGUGAAUCAGCUAUACAUAUACAUAUAUUCCCAUAUCUCCUCCCUCUUGCGUCUCCCCCCCACCCUCCUUAUCCCACCCCUCCAGGUAGUCACAAAGCACCGAGCUGAUCUCCCUGUGCUAUGCGGCUGCUUCCCACUAGCUAUCUAUUUUACAUUUGGUAGUGUAUAUAUGUCCAUGCCACUCUCUCACUUCGUCCCAGCUUACCCUUCCCCCUCCCCGUGUCCUCAAGUCCAUUCUCUUCGUCUGCAUCUUUGUUCCUGUCCUGCCCCUAGGUUCUUCAUAACCAUUUUUUUUCCUUUUUAGAUUCCAUAUAUAUGUGUUAGCAUACAGUAUUUGUUUUUCUCUUUCUGACUUAACUUCAUUCUGUAUGACAGACUCUAGGUCCAUCCACCUCACUACAAAUAACUCAAUUUUGUUUCUUUUUAU